UUAGAAGCAGCCAUCCUUUAAAGAAAGCGUAAUAGCUCACUGGUCAAGUUUUCCUGCGCUGAAAACUUAUCGGGGCUCAAGUACGAUACCGACGUCGCGAGUCAUCCGUGCUUCACUAAUGUUCAGCACUUCAAUUACCAAUGACCAAUUAUCAAUUACCAAUGAAUGAAUCGCUUCGCGAUAUUAAUUAUAUAAUUAAUGCCGAAGGCGACAGUCAUUGUUAAUUGUUAAUCGUUAAUUGGUAAUUGAGAAAGUGGUGAGCGAUAGCGAAGCACGGGGGGCGGUAAGGGAGCAUUUGCAGCAGCGUUGAAGCGGGAGCGCGAGCCACCGUGGAGCGCUGCGAAGAGAGAAUGUUGGCAUAAGUAGCAUAAAGACGGGUGAGAAUCCCGUCCACCGUAAACCCAAGGUUUCCAGGGCAACGCGAAUCGUCCCUGGGUUAGUCGGUCCUAAGGCGAGGCCGAAAGGCGUAGUCGAUGGACAGCAGGUUAAUAUUCCUGCACUACUGUAUAGUUUCGAUGGAGUGACGCAUUCUUGCAUCUUCCGAGAUUCCCGGAAUGAAUCUCUGGGUACUCAGGGGUGACUGGCAGGCAAAUCCACCAGUCAUAAGCCUCGGGGUCAUCGCAAGCACCGCGCAAGCGGAGCAAGGGAAGAGAAUGGGGUGCCAAGAAAACCUUCUAGAGCUAACUGUAUGGUAACCGUACCGCAAACCGACACAGGUGGGUGGGCGUAAGUGUGCCAAGGUGUACGAGAGAAUCCGUGUGUAGGAACUCGGCAAAAUAGCGGCCGUAACUUCGGGAUAAGGCCUGCCGGUCAUUCGACCGGCCACAGCAAAAGACGCAAACCGACUGUUUACCAAAAACACAGCUCCCUGCUAAACCGCAAGGUGAUGUAUAGGGGGUGAUGCCUGGCCAGUGUCAGAACGUUAAGCGGAGAGGUUAAGGACUUCGGUCCUGAAGCUUUGAAGUCAAGCGCUGAUGAACGCCGGCGAUAACUAUAAUCGUCCUAAGGUAGCGAAAUUCCUUGUCGGGUGAGUUCCGACCCGCACGAAUGGCAUAACGAGUUUGCGACUGUCUUCACAUGGAACUCGGCGAAAUUGCAAGUGGGGUGAAGAUGCCCUGUACGCGUAGUCAGACGAAAAGACCCCGUGAAGCUUUACUAUAACUUGAUAUUGGGUCAUAGCGGUACAUGUUCAGCAUAGGUGGGAGCCUUCGGGCGCCAGUGAGAUACCACCCUUGUGCCGUUGUGACUCUUGAUCUUAAUCCGUGAAUCCGGAAUAGGAGACAGUAUCUGGUGGGUAGUUUAACUGGGGCGGUUGCCUCCCAAAAAGUAACGGAGGCGUUCACAAAGGUCGGCUAAGCGCGGAUGGAAAUCGCGUGCGUCCUGUAAUGGGAUAAGCCGGCUUAACUGCAAGACCAACAAGUCGCGCAGAUGCGAAAGCAGGACAUAGUGAUCCGACCGUACGAUAUCGGACGGCGGAAGCUCAACGGAUAAAAGCUACUCCGGGGAUAACAGGCUGAUCUCGCCUAAGCGUCCACAGCGACGGCGAGGUUUGGCACCUCGAUGUCGGCUCAUCGCAUCCUGGGGGUGGAGAAGCUCCCAAGGGUUUGGCUGUUCGCCAAUUAAAGCGGUACGCGAGCUGGGUUCAGAA
rnacentral:rRNA from 1 species